GAUUUUGUCCUGGAAACCAGGAAAGGGAAUAACAAUUGAAAUGUAAAUAAGAAAUACUCAAGUUAAUAAAGAUGGAGAAAAAGAAGCAAACUAAUCAAAACAGUGUAAAACCAUGAAAUUGUAUUUGUAAGUGUGUUGGGAUUUUAAAGUUAUUUUUGUGGCAGGGAGCUGUACCUGCUGUUUAUUGGAAUGUCUUUUCUCGGUUGUAGGAUGAGCACCUGGCUGUCUUGUUCUAGAAGCUGGAGGAACCGUUUGUUCUGUUAAGCAGGAGGAUGGAACACUGCAAUAUUUAGAGGAAUUGCUAUCUAUAUUAAUGGUUAGAGAUGUUGAGUGCUUUUUACUGGUUUUGUGCCCAAUUUUAUCAUGAACUUUUGAAGAUUAAGAAAAAUUGUUUUAAUCUUCAAUUACUUAUAGUCUGACUUAUUUGCUUUUCUGUUGCUAUAAUGAAAUACCAUGACCAAGCCAGUUUAUGGAAGAGGUCAUUUUGGUUGGGCUUCCAUGAGACCAUCAUGGCAGGGCGCUGAGAGAUCACAUGUUAAACCCCAAAUAUGAAGCAGAGAGAGUGAACAGGAAUUGGGGCUAGUCAAUAUAUAAUAGCCUCAGAGCUAGUCCCUAGCAAGGUAUAGCCUGUAAAGUCACCACCAGGGUUCAGACAUUUGAGCCUAUGGGAGAUAGUCUCAUUCAAACCACCACAUUUCCCUCCCAGGCUCCAAAGGCCAUUGUUAAAAUAUGAAGUAUAUUUAAUCCUACUUCAGAAGUCCCCAUGGACUCCCACAGUCUCGAUAAAACCCUGUGAAUUUGAAAACUGAAUUCAUUUCAACAUACAAUGGAAAAGAUAUAUAUUACUAUUUCCUAAAAGGAGGAAUGGGGGCAUAGUCAGAAAACGCUGGACCAAGCAAGACUGAUAAGGCAGCAUGUAAACAUCAAGUCCCGUAGGUCAGACUUCCCACCUCUGGGUCAUGGCCCAUUUACAGGGGCUCCCUAAGUCCAUCUGUAAACAUAUAUUUACAUUAUGAUUCAUGACGGUAGCAAAAUUACUGUUGUGAAGUAGCAACAAAGAUAAUUUUAUGGUUGGGGUUCACCACAACACAAGGAAUUGUAUUGAAGCGUCACAGCAUUAGGAAAGUUGAGAACCAGGGCUCUAGCUUAAUAUCUGAUAUCAGAGGCUUAGAUGGCGCCAUCCCUCCAUCUUUCUGCCUGUAAAAUAUAUCUCUUCCAGGCUGGUUCUAUCCCAUGUAAGCAACUCUCCCUGGCAGAAAUCACAGCUUUGGCGCUUCCAACAUGUUGGAGUCUGAAGAAGUAUCCCAGGCUUCACUUCAUCUCUCAGGGUCUUCAUGCAGGAACUCAGGAUUAGGGUUGGCCCUGAGGUCCUUUGGUGUGCAUGCUUGUGAUUUCCUAGAGAAAGAUCUGUUUUUUCUUGCUUGAGAAAGGGUACAUUCAUAGCAGAGAACAUUUUUGGAUUUGUCAAAGAAGGUCAGGAAAGGGCCACAAUUGUCAGUCUAGAAAGGGUAUCACCGAGUUACCCCUUUGUAUUGGUUGCCUCUUCUACCAACUCUAUCUACUCUUCCUGGGUCUAGUCUCUGGAAUGAAUGAGUAGUUUGUCUUGUGGGUCUGUGAAGAUAUCUGGAAAGUUUAAUUUUUAUAUAGUUUUAGCUAUGAUCUCCCUGUCUAAAGACUUAUCUGCUGUGAUGAUUUGAAUAGGAAUGACCACCAUAGGCUCAUAUGCUUGAAUGCUUGUUGUAUAAGGAGUGGCACUAUUAGGAGGUGGGGCCUUGUUGGAGUAUGUGUGGCCAUGUUGGAGGAAGUAGGUCACUGGGAAAGUGGGCUGUGAGGUCUUUAUAUUCAAGCUAUGACCAGUGUCGAAACAGUCUCCUGCUCCUGUCUUCAGAUGAAGAUGUAGAACUCUCAGCUCCUUCUCCAGCACGAUGCCUCCCCGAAUGCUGCUGUGCUUCCCGCCAUGGCGAUAAUGGACUAAACUUCUGAGAGUUGAGCUGCAUAGUUCUCCUAAGCAAGGAGGUGGACUUCAUCCUCCUUACCACUUUCACCCUUGCCUACCCCAGGGACUGUCUGACAAGACCUAAUAUCAGAUUCAUCAGUGAGUAAGAAUCCCGAUUCUACGCAAAGAAAUUGAAUUGGUUCUGUUUUUUUCAAGAGAUGAAAUUGCUUCUUGUGGUUAUGAAGGCAGGUCCAUUAAUGAACAUAAGAGGAAGGACCAUGGAAAGGAAUAUAUCUCUUACAUAUUCACAGAAGAUUAUGCCAGCAGGAAUACUGCGUAUAAGACCGAAAUUUCACUGGAAGAACCUGACUGAGGAAGUGAAAAGGAAAAGAUGGGAAAUAGGAAAACAUUUGAAAAUAAGGCUGUUGACAGGCUGGAGAGGAAGGAGGAGAUUGAAAAUUUAAAUUGUGCUACCUGAAACAAUGUAUUUUCUUGGAUACAAAUAUGUCUUUGCCUAUUUAAAAAAGUACUAGUUACUAUGAGGUAUGAUUUAUCCAUGUCAGUUAUGGUACAAUAUGCUUUAGGAAUUUAAUUCCUGGGGACUGUAAUUGAAAGUUAGUGGUAUGGUUAUUUAAAAACUCUUUAAAAACAAUUUAAAGGAGAUAAUUUCUCACUGUAAUUGUGUACUUUUCUCCAUUUCCAUUGCUUAUGUAGAUACGUAUUACUUCUUACCAUCUUUUAAAUGAUGUUUAGUUACUUAUAAUAGUUUUUCUUUAUGUGAGCAUAGUUAUAAAUACACGUGAUAGUAUAAAAUAAUACAAAGAAUAGUGUACUCUACCUUACUUAUCUGUUAGUAAAAACUCAUUUGUGUGUGUGUGUGUGUGUGUGUGUGUGUGUGUGUGUGUACUUUAAAUGUGAGUGAGGCAUGUGCCUUGAGAGUGUGGUGGUUGCCAUGGCAACAGAAGCAAGCAGGUCUUUGUUACCUAAGGAUGAUGUCAUUGCUGGAUUCAGAGGCUAGCUGUAAACCACUUCUGAUGAUAACAUACCUCCCUUUUUCUUAUCAUAGAGAGAAGAAAAAAGGGAAACAGGGGAAGCCAAUGCUAAAAGGGAAAUCGGGGCUGUAGACCUCUUAAAGUGCUCCCUGCUGUCUAGGAGCAUUAUCAGAUUUAGGGUGUAGCUGACUUUCACCAUCCGGGCCCACUUGAUAGUUGUGCAAAAGGAACUGUUUGACUUUUUGGUUAGAAAAUUUUGAAUUUUUCUUUGAAGGAAUGUGGAAACAAGAUUGAUGAGGCAGGGAGGAAAUAGUAGGUCCAGGAAAAUGGGGGGCAUUAAGAAGGGCAGUAUCCUAUUUCCAUGUAGGGUUUUGAAAAACCCAGGAAUUGGAGGCCUCAUGUUGUUCCCUGCAUUUCUGGAUGUCUGAUUGCAGCUAAUGGAAUGUAUUUCUUACUGCCCCAGAUUCGUUGACAUAGAAACAGCAUUCUUCCUGGUGAAACAGACAAAGACCACCUCCUUUAGCUGUCAGGACAUCUAGUCCCUGUCAGUUCUGAAGCACAACUGCUGCCAAAGAAUCGAUCUUUUUCUUGAUGAUGAGCAUGGUUUCAUACAUUCCUUGGAAACAGUUGCAAGCUGGGAUAAGAACUUCUGGUAUAGGGUUAGGGAAGUCUUCGGUCCUGCUGUUCCAGUGCCAGCACCUGUAGCUACUCCUGCAGCAACCAGGAAUGGCACAACCUGCAGUGCCCUCUUAUGCUGGACAGGUAUGUCAAAAACUGGAAUUGGUAGAGAUUCUUUGCCAUGUAUUACUCCUAGUUCAGGGAAGGAACACCAGUAUGCAAACUCUUCCAGACCAGCUGGCAGGUAAGUGAUGAUAUAUACUAGUGCCACAGAGAACUGACGUGUUUUGGACUUCAGGGCACUGCGGCAGAGAUGGGGUAUCAAGGAUGGUGGUUCUGUUGCAGUGUAGGGAACUGAGUUUUCCUUCAGAACAUGUCCUGGAUGUCCUAAAACUGUCAAACCAAUAAGAGGGAUAUAAAAAGUAUGGGGCAAUGUCAGUAUUGGAAUCAGGGCAGCUGAUAAAAGCUGAGGUAAGGUUAUUGGGCAGUAUCACUAGAGAGGCUGUAAUUGGCAAUUGUGAAUUAAUUUCAGACUAAUUAGUUUAAAGACUGCGUAGCUAGCAGUCUUUAAAGUGACCAGGUUGGGUGCCAUAAGGAGUUGGUACACCAAGGUCAGGGUCUGAAUCAAAAGGCUAAAUGACAAGUUAGUACCAUUUGUGAGGGGGGAUGUCAAGGACGUAAGGACCCUGGAGGACUGUUUGAUUAUUUCUCCUAUUUUUCUGAUAUCUAGAGUUUGAGAAAUUGGACAAAAUUUCUCUGGAUGUGGAUAGUACUCACUGAAGACCCUGCUUGGUUUUUACAUUAGAGCUUACCAACAACUCUUGUUUUCUACCUGGGAUUCCAUGGGUCUGGUAUACAGAAGAACAGGGUCUGGCAUUGCUGACAGAAGUGAUUGGUCCUUGAUCCUAACAUAUGUAUCUGGAACGACCAAUAUGGACAGCCUCCAUAUUUGUCUGACCAUUUUUUGCAAUCAUCUUUUGUCUGGUCAAAGAGGAAGCAGACAAAGGGAACAUAAUAUGUAGAAGGAAUGACAGAUAUAGGGAUGACAGCAAUUUGGAUUGACUCCCAGCAUGGAGUGGUUUCCUGAUCCUAUUGGGAAAGUCUGUUUAUUAUCAGUGGGGAUUCCUUGAACCUCGAAUCUCUAGAUGUAAGUGAUACUAUGGAUGGAAACGAUCAGAUGAGAAGCCCAGGUCUAAUCCAGUGGAGUGGAGCACAGAUGCUAGAGUGGAGUCUCAUUCUUCUGGGAUUGGGGACAAGGUGGGUGGUCUCAACAUCUUGUGGAGCUUAAGAGAGCAGGGUCCAUGAAGGGCCCUACCAUUUAGGAGAGACAGCUAAGAGCUGCUGAUCUGGAGGGGACAGAAAAACUUGGUCUGAAAUGUUGAUAGGUAGUGGACAGGAGACAGCGUGUGGCCUUGGUCAGUGUUGGUCAGUAGAGUUGCAUAGGAGAGAAAGGGGGUGACAAAGUAAUGGGGUAAGUCAAUGGUCUAGGAGGGGAGCGCAUUUACUUGAAAGACCAGGAAUUAGUACUGACAUCGAUACAUGAGUUUGAAAGGUGAGACAAAAAUAGGUCACUUGGGGAGAGCUUGUAGCCUAAAAUCAGCCAGAGGUAGGAGUUUUGCCCAAUCAAAGUUCCUGUGACAGUUUGACAAGAGUGGUUUUUAGGGAGCAAUUAGUUCUUUCUACCUUACCUGAAGAUUAAGGGUAGUAUGGAAUAUGAAAAUGCCAGGUGAUGUCUAGGGCCUUAGACAGAAUUUGAGAAAUUUGGGAAGUAAAUUCAGGAACAUUGUCUCACUGAAGGGAGGCUGAGACACCAAAUAGAGGAUGAUUUCUUGGAAGAGGAGCUCAGAAACUGUCUGAACCCUUUUGUUAGUUGUGUGAUAUGCCUCCACCCACCCCAAGAAUGUGUCAAUCAAAACUAGGAGGUAGUUGGCACAUUUGGCAUGUGGGUAAAGACAAGUUGCCAGUCAGUUCCAGGAAGGGAACCUCUGGCCUGAUGGGUAGAAAACGGGGUGCUACAAUACCAGAGGUUGAAGUCUGACACUUGACAGACUUUGGAAGAGGCAGUGAUGGAUUUUAAGAAACUUAAGUCCUUAGGAGUAGGCUUCUGGUGGGUUUUAACAAAAUAAGACAAUGCCUUGCUAUUAGGAUGAAAGAUGUGGCCAAAAUAGGAGAGAAUUUGAUGAGUGUUAGGAAGUGAGAGUGGGGAUGUGAAUUGCAGUGUAAGAAUGUCCUGGGGAGGGUGAGACAUGUGUAGGCCCCUAAGGGCCGCAGUUCUGGCUGCCUCUUCAGCUCCAUUGUUUCCCUUGGAGACAAUAGAGUCAUUCAUCAGGUGGGAUCGGCAGUGGACAAACCCAAUAGCUGUGUGGAUAUGGGAGGCCUUUAGCAUGGCCAUAAUUUUCUUUGCAUUAGCUACUGAUCCUCCCUUAGUCAUAAGUACCCCAUGCUCCUUCCAGUUAGGGGCAUGGGUCAGGAUGAUAUGGGAAGCAUGUUUAGAAUCUGUGUAGAUGUUGAGGGAUUGUCCCUGUGCCAGUUGAAAGGCAUGGGUAAGGACUACUACUUCAGCCUGUUGAUUGGUGGUAUGAGCAGGAAGGGCCUGUGCCUCAGUGUCUGACACUAUGGGGCAUCUGACUCUUAUGGCUCCUUCAUGUAGAAAGGAGCUUCCAUCUGUAUACCAGGUAUAGAUGGUCUGAGGCAAAUUGCCCUCCUGUAUGUGUGAAGGGUGAGGUAAUAAUUCCUCUAAGGUUUUAGUGCAAGGGUGAGAUAAGGAGUGAUUAGUAUUUGGUGGAGAAAGAAGAUUGGAAAGGCAGGUGUGAUUGAAAGGUUAGUGUGGAGUCUUCUAUUAGUGCUACCUGAAGAGAAAGAACCUUGGAGGGAGGUAGAAUCUGUAAACCUUUGAAAGGUAGGAGCUGUGACAUGUUAUAAGAGGAGAAGACCAUUAUAGGCAACCCAAAUGUUAGGUUUUCUUAUUCUUCAAUAAGGAGUUCAGCAGCUGCUAAGGUACAAACACAAGGUGCCAUCCUUGCAUGGUUAGAUCUAGUUUUUUUGACAGGUAUGCUACAGGUACAAAGGAGGGUCCCAGUUGGUGACCUAAAUUUCCAAAUGUUGGUAUCAGGAACUGCUUUUGCCUCCAGCAAUGAUGUCAUCUGGUCACCUGAGCAUCUGUUGUCAAGGCAACGGUCAUCCAUUUCCAGCAUACAUUUCAUGUUACAGUUACACCACAUUUCACAUAAAAGGCAGAUCCUUUCUGCCCUCUUCCACUUGUCUCUCCUCUCUUCCCUUUUUCUCCUCUCUUUCUCUCCUACCUUCUUCACCCCUUGGCCUUUGUCUCUACCAUUCCAAUAAACCUCUCCACGUGGAGCCCUGUUGGCCUGGUGUGGUUUGUCCAGACAUGAGCCAUAGAGCCUCUCUGUAAAAGACAAUGUAAAAGGUGGUAUGUGUAUGGCUACUUAAAAAGACAACCAAAAGCCAUCAGUGGCUGAACAAAGAAGAAAGUGAAAGGAAAUGGAUUCAUGGGAAUUCAAUCAACCUGAUAACAUUUACAUUUUAUGCCCAGGUUUGGUGCCAUAGGAGAACAGCCUAUAGUAUAGUUGGUGACCUCCAAAGGAGCUGGGAGUUGGGUUGAAUCUUGUGAAAAGAUCAAAUACAGAGAACUCAUUCUGAACCGAACAGAUCCCAUAGGAUGCUUUAUGCUAAGAAAUAUAAUGUCAGUGCUGGAAUAUUGUUAUUGGUUAAACUUAGGCUUUAAUACCAAAGUACUCAUUUUGGUUCAAACUGAAUUUGAACACCUGCAGCGUGAAAUACUGAAGAGGGCACCAUCCCAUAUUACCCCAUGUACCAGAAGGUCACAUGGCACCAAUGGGUCAUUUGGCCCUGGUGGGCUGUUCUCAUCUUGACAGACUUUCUGGCCUGUAGCUCCAGAAAUCUCUUCACCCAAUUUGCUAAGUUACCUUAGAAAGUCACUACCAUGACAAACCUCAGA